rnacentral:rRNA from 1 species
GCGAGCGUUAAUCGGAAGUUACUGGGCGUAAAGCGCAUGCAGGUGGUUUGUUAAGUUCAGAUGUGAAAGACCCGGGGACGUCGAACCUCGGAACUUAAGCAUUUGUAAACUAGGCAGACUAGAGUACUGUAGAGGGGGUAGGAAGUUUACAGGUGUAGCGGUGAAAUAGCGUAGAGAUCUGAAGGAAUACCGGUGGCGAAGGCGGCCCCCUCGGACAGAUACUGACACUCAGAUGCGAAAGCGUGGGGAGCAAACAGGAUUAGAUACCCCUGGUAG